AACGAGCGCUGGCGGCGUGCCUAACACAUGCAAGUCGAACGAGAAAGGGGCUUCGGCUCCGAGUAAAGUGGCGCACGGGUGAGUAACACGUGGGUAACCUGCCUCUAAGAUUGGGAUAACUCGUCGAAAGAUGAGCUAAUACCGGAUAAGACCACAGUUCCCGCGGGAACAGGGGUCAAAGGUAGCCUCUGCUUGCAAGCUAUCACUUAGAGAUGGGCCUGCGCACCAUUAGCUAGUUGGUAGGGUAACGGCCUACCAAGGCAAAGAUGGUUAGCUGGUCUGGGAGGAUGAUCAGCCACACUGGAACUGAGACACGGUCCAGACUCCUACGGGAGGCAGCAGUGGGGAAUAUUGCGCAAUGGGCGAAAGCUUGACGCAGCAACGCCGCGUGAGUGAUGAAGGCCUUCGGGUCGUAAAGCUCUGUCGGGAGGAACGAAUGCUCCCAAGGUUAACAGCCUCGGGAGGUGACGGUACCUUCAAAGGAAGCACCGGCUAACUCUGUGCCAGCCGCCGCCGUAAAAC
rnacentral:rRNA from 1 species